GCUAGAUGAGCACGAUACCAGUUGAAUAAUAUCUAUCAAUUCAUUUUAGGUUUUGGUAUUCUUGUGCGAAGAACUAUAGAGUUGUGACUCAUUACAUUUCGGUACUAAAUAACUUUUUUUCAUAUUUUGUUGCUAAUAUUUAUAUUAACAUCAUGAGAAAUGCACGUAAUCAACUUAAUUUUCCUGCUAGUAUUUUUUGAUUAUGUUCUAUCAACUGAACCAGUUUCUGAGAUCGAUCGAAAUAAUAAAGUGUUGUCAAUUAUACAAAAACUAUCCGCUGAAGAUGGGGAUGUCAUCAAGAAGAUGCAGAAGGAAUUGGAGGAGAUGCAGAAGGAAUUGGAGAACUUUCGCGAGAUUUACGGUUCAGGUAUGAUGUAGAAAGUAGAAACCCAGAUAGAAAGAAUCUAAAAAAAUUUUCAAUUCUCUUUUUUCACUGUCAGAAUUUUUCCAUGUCUCCUGAUGUUUUUGAAGCCAACAUGUUUAUAGCAUAAACGUCCUUCUUUCUUUCUUUGCGUUGCUGGGGGGCAUACCUCAACCUCAUAUGAGGCAUUUGAUACAGUUGAUUUUGGGAUCCUAUUGCAGAAGCUCUGGAGCUGUGGAAUCAGAGGCAUGCAGUAUGACUGGUUCAGAUCCUACCUGGACAGUGGCGUCGCUAGACAAUCUGAACAGGUGUGCCCAUGGUGUGCCAAUUUUCAAAAUUAUGAAACCAAGUUGUCAAAUUCCCCCCCCCAACCGAAAUUCCCAUUCUGACCCAAAAAACAUUUUUAAAAUGAUGUAUCUGGCUGUCUAGUCUCUCAAGGUCAUUGCCCUGUCUGUCUGGCUUCUCAAAAUCUUUUGUCUGCCUGUGUAGUCUCUCAAGGAUCCUCUGCAAACCCCAAUGUGUAUCUUUCUGGUUUUAUUAGGUCAUUGACCCUUCUGUCUGACUUCCCAAGGUCAUACAUAUAUUCCACUAUCUGGUCUCAUGAGGUCAUUGACCUUUCUGUCUGUCUUCCUAGCACCAUCCAUCUGUAAGAUCGACCUCUCAAGGUCAUUGACCUGCAUGUCUGGACUUUUAAGCUUGUUUGUCCAACAAGCUGGCAUAUCAUGGUCAAUGACCUGCCUGUCCGCCAUCCGCAAGGUCAUUGACCGAUUUUCAAGGUCAUAUAUUCCACUAUCGGGUAUCAGGAGGCCACUGACCUUUCUGUCUGUCUUUUCGGUCCAGCACUAUCUGCAAGAUUGACCUUUUAAGGUCAUUGACCUGUAUGGUCAUUGUCCAAAAGGUCAUUGACUUAUUCCCAAGGUCAUAUAUUCCACUAUAUAGAAUCAUGAGGUCAUUGCCCUUUCUGUCUGUCUUCCCAGCACCAGCUGCACGAUUGACCUCAUUAGGUCAUUGACCUGUCUGUGUGGACUUUCAAGUUUGUUUGUCCAACAAGCUGACAUCUCAAGGUCAAUGACUUGCCUGUUCACCAUCGACAAGGUCAUUGACCUAUUGGUAUAACCCUUUAAGGUCAAUGGCUUGUCUGUUCAGUCUCUCAAGGUCAUCUAACAAUCUAACUGUCUUUCUGACCUUCUGAGGUCAUUGACACGUGUGCCUUUUCUCUUAAGGUCAUUGAACUCUCUAUCUGGCUUCUCAACGUCCUCUGUCUGCCUUUCUUGCCUCUCGGGGUCAUUGCCCCAUGUGAAUGGCUUACUAAAGAGUCAUUUUGUCUGUUUGUCUGUCAGUUUGACUGACCUCUUGAGGCCAUUGACCUAUCAGUAUGGCUUCUCAAGGUCGUCUGUCCGCUUGUCUGGCUUAAGUAUAAUGGCUCCAAAAUGCUACUUGAAAUUUUGUAAUUUAGAAGCCAUGUAAACUGUGAAAAAUAAUUUUAAAAGCCAACUCUUAAAAGUCAAUUUGAUUUGAAAUUUUGUAAUUUGGGGUCCAUGUGAGCUCUGAAAAUAUACUUGAAAUUUCAUAAUUGGACUGCCAUUUUCCUUCUCUUUUCUAAUUAUGAUAUCUUCUCUUUUUUUUUUUUUUUUCUAAAAUACCUACCUAAUGAAAAGACAUAUUUACGGCAGUCUGGAUAGGCAACUUAUUUCGCAUCAUUUUUAGAUAUUUAAUUUUUUAUGCGUGUACUUGCAACUCUCAUGAUAAUAUAGGACCAAUUUUCACCUCUACACACUGCUAAAAUCUCAAUCACUCGUUUUAAAAUAACUAACUUCAGUUUAAGACGAUCCAUAUUUAACCAAGCAAGAACUUCUCUGAGUUGCCACAAAAUAAAUUCCAAAUUUUACUGAAAGCUGUUCAAUAGUUUUCCAAUAUUAGAAGAUCUGAAAUACAGAAAUUUUCUCAACAAUGACCCAAAAAUGUGAACAUGUAUUUUGAACAAUUUUUUCAACAUACACCCUUCAUUCUGGUCUUAUUUUAAAGAGCUCGUCAAUAUGAAAAAACUCCAAUUUUGGCAUUGUUGAUUAGAAAUAUGAUAAAUAUGAAUUCGUAUGUCUCGCGGUAUCAGUUCUUUUAAUUCACAUUAUGAUAAGAUAGACCUAUCUAAGCUAUGUGAAUAAUUCGUACAUACGUAUCUUAAAUAUAAAUCUUGAAUUCUUUUCAUUGCUCAGUAGGUACUUGAUCUAAAGACACGAAUCUCAAUUGCUGAUGCUAAAGUUACACGAAGAUACUAGAUAGGAUACUUAAUGAAGGAUUUCAGAACAUGAUGAUGAAAUUUUUUACUGAGCUGCAUAAUCUUCGAUCUUCUUAUACCUACAGUGUUCUAGUAAACCCACUACCACUCUGUCACCUUUUGACCAGGUAUACGUUAUUAAUCAAGCAUUAACAUUGGCUGAAAUGUUUGCCUAAUUUCAAGGACCUUCCAAGGUCACGAAGAAUCAAGAUUCAUCUAAAGCUUAUUCGGUACCACAAAUUAUCCAGUUGGGGGCAGUUUCAAUCUAUAGACUAGACUUACCAAAAGGAUGUAAUGAUGCCCGAGAAGGUCAACGCGUACGUGGAAGAUCGACUUGGAUGAAUAUUCUUCGUAAAUUGAAAAAACUCCUCAUGCGAUGGAGCUACAACUAACUACAGCUACGACUCAAACCAAUGGGAUUAGCUUACAUACGUAUAAGACGUUUGCCAAGCACGCUGAAGCCUUCGAGAAAGAUAUUAAUAACGUGAGACACCCUGAGUUCCGAAAAUCGCUUUCUGAAAAGGAUGUCAAAGGUGCUCUCAGAACUAUAGAAAUGGAGCCGUGGCUGUUUAUUGCUGCGGAAGCGAUUUUGAAGCCUUUUCUAAAGAAUACUGCGACGCAAAUUUGAGGAACGCACUUCAAGUACAUUCGAAUGCGUUCUACUAACAAAAGUACCAGGAAGCGUGAGCAUCGAUUUGAAAAAACUAAAGAAGUGGAGACAUAUUUUUAUGAGAAUAAAGUGUUUACCAACAAAGAACAAAUACUCUGAUUCAGGCAAGAUCUAUAUAGUUGAGAAAGGCAAAUUCACUGGGAAUUGGUAAAUGUGUGAUUUCGGGACCAUAACACAGCGUUCAAAUUCUGGUUUAGCACCAAAGUAUCAACAAUAAACCAAAUUAUGAUCUGGAAAAUACACUAAUUUUGGUUUUCAGCCGGUACUCGAUGAUGGCACAAAAGAUAAAUUGUUUCCAAUUACCAUCAGAACUCCUACAUAAUUAAAUCAGUAUAUCUACAGUGACGAAUUUUUAAUUUAAUUUUUUUUUUAUGAUAUUUCAAAUAAGUACAUUUGAAAUUUUGUAAUUCGGA